AGUAAGAAAAAAACUGAGGUAUAGCAUCAAGAAAAUCACAGUUUUUUACAACUGCUCACACACGUUUUCUGAAACUGAUACAUCUAACACUCCUGUCUUUGUUAGGAAUUAUUUUUGAUGUUAUACUGUUACAGUGCACUUCAUAGAGCAAUCUGACAUAACUGUUUACAAUAGACUGAAUAUAUGAACACACAGAUACAGUACUUCUAACAAAUGUCAGUAAUUAUUCCUCAGUUCUGUGAAACAUUGACAGUGCACCUUUUGCAUUUUUAGUGCUAGAAUUUUUUAUUUAUUUUUUUUAUUUUAAUAUACAACUGUAUUUAGUCAACACAUACGCAGGUCAUUUAGGAUGCUGAGGGUUGUAACAAUGUGUUCAGUUAUGAAACACAUAUACACAAUAUUUUGUAAGUUGGUUGGUAUAAAUAAAUUAACUCUUAGUACUUGAUUCAUAAAAAAAACCACAGCAACAUAACAUCACAACCAACCUUUGGAACUGGUAUGUGUGUCUUGCAUUUGCAUUUUGAAGGGUAGUGCCGUAAAAAAUGCACACUAGUGUUCAAUGUCUGUGUAAUGGUUUGCAAAAAGUAUUUUAUGAUAUUGAGAACUGAGUGAAAGUCUGAGAAUUAGCUUAUAGUAUAGCUUAUAGUUUUGCAGAUUAGGUGUGAGAAUUUGCUCUUUGAGUGACACGUUUCAGAUUUCGUAUGACAUGUAAACAUUUUGUGUGUAAGCAGGUAAACUGCUAUUUUGUAUAGGUAUCAAAUUAUUUGUUCAUAGCCUUGAUACUGGUGGAGUGUUGUACACAUGACACUUAUUUUUUUUACCUUUCAGCAGAAUAUACUAAGUAAUUUCCAAAUGAUUUCAUAAUGUAUUUGUUAACUCUUUAGGAGCUGAUACCAAAGAGGUCAAAUACUACAGAGUGGCUGUAGUGAGUCUGGGGCUGCUGUGUGCUCUCCUACUGGUUGUCAUUAUAUGGAUGGGCACCAAACACACUGCAGAGAGAGACCAGCAACAAAGGAAUAUGGACCAACUGCAAUUAAGAAACACCAACCUAGCCAAAGAGAGAGACCAGCAACAGAGGAUUAUGGACCAACUGGAAAUAAACAAAACCGAAGUGGACCAAGAAAAUCAUCGGGUGACUUCAGAGAAUAAUGCUUUGAUGAAAAAAAAACAGCAUUUUGACAGCUGAGAAAGAGAAGCUGCAAAACACCGUUCGGAUUCCUCAUGGUUUGAGAUGUUUUGGUUCCAGUUUUUACUACAUUUCAACCAGCCUGAAAACCUGGAGUGACAGCAGACAGCACUGCAUGGAUCAAGGGGGGGAUCUGGUGAUCAUUGACAGUGAGGAGGAACAGAAAUUCAUCUCAGGAUUUAAGAAGAAAGUUUGGAUUGGUGCUGUGAAGACAGACGGAGCCUGGAAAUGGGUAGAUGGCAAAGUCCUGGGUAAUGCAGGGUACUGGGCUGAGGGAGAACCAAAUGACUAUAGUGGAAAAGAAAAGUGUGGAGAGUUAUCGACGACCCUUUAAGAACCUGGAAUGACCACCGUUGCAUUGUGGACAAUAAAUAUAUUUGUGAGAAAGUGAUGUGAUUUCAAUUAAAAACGUCUGUCUUUUUUGAGUCUUCCCAUAGGACAACUUUAGUUUUCAAAGAUUUUGAUAACUCAGAAAACCUAUAUGUGAUCUCAUUGUUGUUUCAAUUGUGUAUCAAUUUAAAUCACAGAUAUUUCUUCUCAGAUUGUUUAGGAGAAACAAUUUGAGACUAAAAUGAGAUGAGGCACUUUGUAAAAAUCCACCAUAAUUGAUAACAAAUAUAUUUUAAUUACCCCUCUCCUAAACAUCUUUAAAACAGUCUUCUUGCUCUUUUUGUGAAAAUGUGUGCCUCAUCCCCAAACAUCAACGAUGUCUUGAGAGAGAAUCAGAGGAGGUUAUAUUGAAAUGUCUAUAUUUAGUAAAAAUGGAGCGUGAUUUGUGACCCUGUUGAGAUCUCUCCUUUAACACCAUAGGAGAAAUUUGGUCCAUAUAGAAGUAUAGAUUUAAGCUUUAAUAUCCUUUUCAUCUCAUUGCUGUCUAGGGUAAACUGAAAGAUCUCUUUUUAGAUUUUUCUCUUCUUAAUGUUUUUGUAAUGGACAUCUAUUGACCUGCUGAUAUACAAACUCCCUUGUAUCAAUGAUGCCAGAUUACCCAUGAAUUUUUAACUGCUGGGUUCCAUGUUAAUCAUGGUCUUAUAACAGAAAAGAUGUCCCCGUACUCAAUCACUUUCUUUUUCUGUAGUAAUUGUUCUCAUACUGUCCACCAGAUGACACUAAAUGAGCAUCUAAUGUAAAGAUGACGUUAGGCCUAAAAUAGUGACAGCAGAAUGUAAAAAAAUAAAUGAAAUAAAUAAAAACACGUAUUGAUUUCCAUAUUUGUUUUUGUCAAUGCUGAGGAGCCACUAAAGAGGGGCUAAAGAGCCGCGGGUCGCUGACCCCUGGUCUAAUCAAUCGCUAAACUGACAGCAAGUUGUCCACAGAUGUGUACAUUACAGAUACAGUUAGUCAUUUGACAGACACUGUUAUUCAAAACAACACUGGAAACGACCCUUCUGCAUGCAGUUUCACCUGUCGUAAAUAUCCACCGACAUCACUCUUAAAGGUGAGGGAGUAGUUUUUAGUGGCUUCUUGUGGUGAGUUUACAGCUGAAUACCCUUCCCUUUACAAGCGUGUAAGAGUACCUACGGUGGUUGUCAAAUAACCAAUAAGCCAUAACAAAGGUGAAAAACCCCAUCUACAGCCAGAGUUAUGGUUUGUCCGUUCUGGGCCACUGUAGAAACAUGGCGGUGCAACAGGGCGGCCUCCGUGGAAGAGGACCCCCUCCCUAUGUAGAUACCACGAUUCAUCGUUACAGGUGAUUAUACACUAAUGAAAACAUAGUAAAAACUACACACUGUACCUUUAAUAGGUUAAUGUGUCUCCCCUAAAGAAAGUGUCUCAGAAUAGGAACUCUAAACUAACAUAAGUCUUUACCCCACGCCACUCUCACAGCACAUGGCAAUGUCUGUGCUAAUGGAGAAACACUAGGGAAUAGAACAUCAAUACCCUCAGAACCAAAUGGCACAAACAAACAGAAACACUGCAAAUUCACCAAAGAUGUUUCCUUCAAUUUGUCAAACACUGUCAUACAUACGUACGUAUAUGUCAAAUCCCAAUAUAUGCUGGAAUAUUUAACCCAAUUCUGAAAAAGUAAGAAUCUAACACUGCUAUUAGAGAAUUUAUAUAAGAAAUGCAUCAGCUGUUUGAGAUCUAACCACUGAUUUGUCUUGAAGUUGUGUGAUGACAAAGUUUGCUGAUUCAAGGAACUUCAAGAAUGACACUAAAAGUCCAACUGACACUGAAAGUCAGAAAGGUGAGUAUUGGGAAGAGAUUGUCAGAGGAGUUGAUUGUCAGAGGAGUUGAUUGGCAGUGUUGGCCAAGUGUUGGCACCGGGUAUAGGUUCGGCCGGCCGUGUGGCCGUUGCACAGUGUGGAGCGUAGACCCUUUUUUACAUUUCACUACAUGUUCGUGUAUGUGACAAAUAAAGCACUUGAACUUGAGUGUCAGAGGGAGGGGGAGGGGGAGGAUACAGAGUGGUAGAGAAAGAAAAAAAUCUGAAAUAAUAGUGAUCCUACCAAAAAAAAUCAUCAUCACUGUGGAAGUUAGGAUGAAGCCCAAAUUAAUGCAAAAGACCAAACCGGCCUGCUAGCAUUAGCGUGAACGCAGGGUCAGGAGGCCAGGCUGCCUUUGCUGUGGCUGUGGAGGUU